UGCUUGGGAAUAUGCCUUUGAGUGGGGACGAACAGUUGGAACGACUGCUAAUACCGCAUAACGUCUACGGACCAAAGAGGGGAGUCUUCGGACCUCUCGCUCAUAGAUUAGCCCAAGUGAGAUUAGCUAGAUGGUGGGGUAAUGGCCUACCAUGGCGACGAUCUCUAGCUGGUUUGAGAGGAUGAUCAGCCACACUGGGACUGAGACACGGCCCAGACUCCUACGGGAGGCAGCAGUGGGGAAUAUUGCACAAUGGGCGAAAGCCUGAUGCAGCCAUGCCGCGUGUGUGAAGAAGGCCCU
rnacentral:rRNA from 1 species